rnacentral:lncRNA from 1 species
AAGGGUACAGAGAAUGAGCAGCUUGGAGGAGUUUGAAUGACUCAAGGCAAAGGAAGAAGGGAAAGGAAAUCAUCUUCUGAAGAUCUCUAAAAGGAAUGAGGAAUCUUGUCUGGGAUUAGACACUGAAGGAUUUUGAGCAACUUCCAAGUCACACAGCGAGACCCAGGAGGCAGGAGCCAAUAAAAUCUUAAAGACACCCAAGGACCAGGCCCACACAUUCCAAAUGCUUCUUAGGCCCCUGAUGGCCUUGACUUGUGACCUGCUGCCAGCACCACAGAGCAGCUGCCCUGGGAGCAACACUCACAAAGAAGCACAGUGUUGGAGAGAAAACUGCAAAUGACAAGAAAAAUAUGUAUUGAUUAUGUAUUGAUUAAUACAUGAAAUUAACGUCAGUUUUUUUAAGAAACCUUUAUUUCAAUGGCAUUACUGUACCUUCAUUUCCUUUUCUGUUGUAUUGCGUGUCCUCAACUUAAAAUGG